rnacentral:rRNA from 1 species
UACAGAGGGGGCGAGCGUUAUUCGGAAUUAUUGGGCGUAAAGGGUGCGUAGGCGGCGCGGUAAGUCGGGUGUGAAAUCUCGGAGCUUAACUCCGAAACUGCAUUCGAUACUGCCGUGCUUGAGGACUGGAGAGGAGACUGGAAUUUACGGUGUAGCGGUGAAAUGCGUAGAUAUCGUAAGGAAGACCAGUGGCGAAGGCGGGUCUCUGGACAGUUCCUGACGCUGAGGCACGAAGGUCAGGGGAGCAAACGGG